rnacentral:rRNA from 1 species
AAUAUUGGACAAUGGGGGCAACCCUGAUCCAGCAAUACCGCGUGUGUGAAGAAGGCCUGAGGGUUGUAAAGCACUUUCAAUUGUGAAGAAAAGUUAACGGUUAAUAACCGUUAGCCUUGACGUUAACUUUAGAAGAAGCACCGGCUAACUCCGUGCCAGCAGCCGCGGUAAUACGGAGGGUGCAAGCGUUAAUCGGAAUUACUGGGCGUAAAGCGUGCGUAGGCGGUUUAUUAAGUCAGAUGUGAAAGCCCCGGGCUUAACCUGGGAACUGCAUUUGAAACUGGUAAACUAGAGUAUGGUAGAGGAAAGUGGAAUUUCUGGUGUAGCGGUGA